GGCUGACUCUCGGGGUUACAGCUUGCUGAAUUAUUCACCCUUGUCUUUUGCGUACUUCUUGUUUCCUUGGUGGGUUCGCCCACCACUAGGACAAACAUAAACCUUUUGUAAUUGCAAUCAGCGUCAGUAACAAAUUAAUAAUUACAACUUUCAACAACGGAUCUCUUGGUUCUGGCAUCGAUGAAGAACGCAGCGAAAUGCGAUAAGUAGUGUGAAUUGCAGAAUUCAGUGAAUCAUCGAAUCUUUGAACGCACAUUGCGCCCUUUGGUAUUCCAAAGGGCAUGCCUGUUCGAGCGUCAUUUGUACCCUCAAGCUUUGCUUGGUGUUGGGCGUCUUGUCUCUAGCUUUGCUGGAGACUCGCCUUAAAGUAAUUGGCAGCCGGCCUACUGGUUUCGGAGCGCAGCACAAGUCGCACUCUCUAUCAGCAAAGGUCUAGCAUCCAUUAAGCCUUUUUUUCAACUUUUGACCUCGGAUCAGGUAGGGAUACC
rnacentral:rRNA from 1 species